GAGCAAAUCUCAAAAAGCCGUCCCAGUUCGGAUCGCAGGCUGCAACCCGCCUGCGUGAAGUUGGAAUCGCUAGUAAUCGCGGAUCAGAAUGUCGCGGUGAAUACGUUCCCGGGUCUUGUACACACCGCCCGUCACACCACGAGAGUUUACAACACCCGAAGUCAGUGGCCUAACCGCAAGGAGGGAGCUGCCUAAGGUGGGGUAGAUGAUUGGGGUGAAGUCGUAACAAGGUACC
rnacentral:rRNA from 1 species